UACGGAGGAUGCAAGCGUUAUCCGGAAUGAUUGGGCGUAAAGCGUCCGCAGGUGGCUAUGUAAGUCUGCUGUUAAAGAGUCUAGCUCAACUAGAUAAGAGCAGUGGAAACUACAAGGCUAGAGUACGUUCGGGGCAGAGGGAAUUCCUGGUGUAGCGGUGAAAUGCGUAGAGAUCAGGAGGAACACCAGUGGCGAAGGCGCUCUGCUAGGCCGUAACUGACACUGAGGGACGAAAGCUAGGGGAGCGAAUGGG
rnacentral:rRNA from 1 species